GGAUCUGCAUAAACGUUAGUUCCCCUCAAUAUGCUGGUGAUGUGGUUAACAUCACCGGUAUUCGGCAAAAAAUUUGCGAGUGAAAAAUCUGCCACCUGAAUCAAUGAUUUAUAUAAAUUAACUUGCAUCCAAAUAUCAAAUUUAUCAAAUUACAAAAAGUUUGUCAAUAUAUUAUAAAAUAUUUUGACAUUUAAAUGUUAAAAUUGUAUUUUUUACAAAAAUGUUUUACCUUUGGUUCAAAGUCAUU
rnacentral:misc_RNA from 1 species